GUUUAGGCUUACAUACAUAAGUAUUCCCCGAUCGAUGGCUCGCAGGCAGGGCCGGUUUUAUUUUUUUACACAUUUUUAACAUUGUUAGUGUUUUCUUCACGGCAGUUGUUAGCUGUGUGUCCAGAUCUCAACCUGGAGAAGUGGAUUGCACUUUGUCAGGCCUCUACACUAAGACCUGUCCAGCUUGGGUGUCCCACCUGAAGAUUAAAGCUUCUGCUGGUAUAGCUCUUAGGGUCACUGAGAGGGUCGCGGAGUCCUGACAGCAGGCUGUGUGAGGACACACACUGCACCGACAUGAGAGAAGAGAGGGGGCUGAUUAACGUGUGUUUCUAUCAGCGGAUUUUUCACUUCUAAAUGUUUGAUUCGAGGGGGCAGGACAUCUGUUUGAGGGGGCGUUGCCCCCUCUUGCCCCUGCGUAGAGCCGGCCCCGCUCGCAGAUGCGCUUUCUAGACAGGCGGAGGCCCGUUGGUGUAGCUCAGCAUGGGGUAGAAGGAGUGGGCCAAGUUGUUGGACUGGGCGCAGUAGUCGGCCUCGGACAAGGGCAGCAGGAAGGCCACCAGCACCAGCACCAGCAG